rnacentral:rRNA from 1 species
CGAGCGGACAGAAGGGAGCUUGCUCCCGGAUGUUAGCGGCGGACGGGUGAGUAACACGUGGGUAACCUGCCUGUAAGACUGGGAUAACUCCGGGAAACCGGAGCUAAUACCGGAUAGUUCCUUGAACCGCAUGGUUCAAGGAUGAAAGACGGUUUCGGCUGUCACUUACAGAUGGACCCGCGGCGCAUUAGCUAGUUGGUGGGGUAAUGGCUCACCAAGGCGACGAUGCGUAGCCGACCUGAGAGGGUGAUCGGCCACACUGGGACUGAGACACGGCCCAGACUCCUACGGGAGGCAGCAGUAGGGAAUCUUCCGCAAUGGACGAAAGUCUGACGGAGCAACGCCGCGUGAGUGAUGAAGGUUUUCGGAUCGUAAAGCUCUGUUGUUAGGGAAGAACAAGUGCGAGAGUAACUGCUCGCACCUUGACGGUACCUAACCAGAAAGCCACGGCUAACUACGUGCCAGCAGCCGCGGUAAUACGUAGGUGGCAAGCGUUGUCCGGAAUUAUUGGGCGUAAAGGGCUCGCAGGCGGUUUCUUAAGUCUGAUGUGAAAGCCCCCGGCUCAACCGGGGAGGGUCAUUGGAAACUGGGAAACUUGAGUGCAGAAGAGGAGAGUGGAAUUCCACGUGUAGCGGUGAAAUGCGUAGAGAUGUGGAGGAACACCAGUGGCGAAGGCGACUCUCUGGUCUGUAACUGACGCUGAGGAGCGAAAGCGUGGGGAGCGAACAGGAUUAGAUACCCUGGUAGUCCACGCCGUAAACGAUGAGUGCUAAGUGUUAGGGGGUUUCCGCCCCUUAGUGCUGCAGCUAACGCAUUAAGCACUCCGCCUGGGGAGUACGGUCGCAAGACUGAAACUCAAAGGAAUUGACGGGGGCCCGCACAAGCGGUGGAGCAUGUGGUUUAAUUCGAAGCAACGCGAAGAACCUUACCAGGUCUUGACAUCCUCUGACAACCCUAGAGAUAGGGCUUUCCCUUCGGGGACAGAGUGACAGGUGGUGCAUGGUUGUCGUCAGCUCGUGUCGUGAGAUGUUGGGUUAAGUCCCGCAACGAGCGCAACCCUUGAUCUUAGUUGCCAGCAUUCAGUUGGGCACUCUAAGGUGACUGCCGGUGACAAACCGGAGGAAGGGGGGGAUGACGUCAAAUCAUCAUGCCCCUUAUGACCUGGGCUACCAACGUGCUACAAUGGGACAGAAAAAAAGGGCU